AUGUACUUUUGCACCUGUGCUUGUACUUGUGCACUUGGACACUUGUGUAGUUGUGCAUGUAUGUACUUGUACAUGUGCACUUAUGCCUGUAUACCUAUACACUUGUGCAUGUGUAGAAUGUCUUUGUGCAUGUAUUUACUUGUGCAUGUGCACUUGUGCACUCAUGAAUGUGCAUGUAUGUACUUGUGCACUUGUGCACUCAUGAAUGUGCAUGUAUGUACUUGUGCACUUGUGCAUGUAUGUACUUGUGCACUCGUGCAUGCAUGGCCUGAUGGUCUUUUGAUUGGCUCAUUUUCAGAUGGACAAUUCCGUGACACUCAUGUGAAAAUGGGACAGCAGCCCAAACCAGGAUCACACAGGUCACUCUUCAGGUUGAACUGAACAGGUGUUAAAACCCACCUGAGAUGACCACAUGACCGCAGCAGUGGAUGGACACACAUCAUAAUUCAUUUACAUAAUGAGAUACACUCCCAUGUACUCAAAGAUCAAUUUGUGUUAAAACCAAUUAAAAUGACUCAUUUAAUGACCAGAUUGUAUUCAAACUGCAGAAUGUUCAGGCAAGGUUCUCUCAAAGUUAUGAACAAAUGUUCUUUUAGUAACAUUAAUAGAACGCUUGUUCAAAGUUAUCUGGACUUUAAUCAUGUUCUCAAAAUGUUACCACAAAAACAUUGUCUCUGUAUCAUUCAUGGCAUGUUUAAAAAAAAACAAAAAAAAAAACAGUAACAUUUUUAAAAUGUUGCUACUUGUUUCAGAACGUUCAGAGAACAUUUGAAAGUAACAUUCCUAUAAUGUUUGAUAAAAUGGAAUGUUCCCUUGACGUUUGUAUAACCAAGAAAAAAAAAAGUGUUUUUAAAAUCUGGACCCGUUCUCACAACGUUCACUAACAUUUAUCAAAAGUUAUAUAAAUGUUAGGACAAAAUGUUCUUAAAGUAAUGGUUUAUGGAAUGUUCUUACAACUUCCUUAAUAUGUGAUAUACACUCAUAAUGUUUAGAAAAAAUGUUCUGGGAUCAACAUUCUUGAAAUGUCUUUGUGAUGUUAUUUGUACUUUAUUAAUAUUUUUAGAACAGCAUUCUCUGAAUGUCCUUAUUGUGUUAUUUGUACUUGAUGAAUGUUUUAAGAAAUGUUUUUGUGGCCUUUAAAUAACAUUAUAAUCACAACAAGAAAACUAGACAUUUUAAUGUUCUUAGAAUAUUAAAAAUAAACAUUAUUAAAUGUUAUAUUUUGGGUAAAAAAAAAAUGUAUUUAGCAGAAUGUUGUAAGAAAUGUUUUUGUAACCUUUAAAUAACAUUAUAAUCACAACAAGAAAACUGGACAUUUCAAAGUUUUGGAACCAUUUCACAACAAUUUCAUGUCCUAAAUUUGCUGCCUUUACACUGAAAAAGAUUAUACUAUUUUUAUUUAUUUAUUUAUUUAUUUUAAGGUAAGGUGCAAACAAUUUAUUUUAGCUACAUAAAAAAAAAAAAAAAAAAAAAUGUUAGUAAACUAAAUCUAUUUAAAUGUAGAUGAAAUAAGUUGAUUGCAACCACAUACCUUAUUUUUUUUUUUUCCUCAGUGAUAGCGCAUGAGAGCUAGUGACUCAUUGAGGUUUUUAUGGUUUUAUUUUUACAAGAGAAAUAAGUGCGUGCUGCAAGAGUCUGAUUCCCGUCUCCUCUGCGCAUCAGUACCUGUGUCACGGUUCAGCACUCAAUUCCGUGCACAGGUUUGAUAUUUAAAUAAGCCAUUUCUGAGCAAAGCCGCGGCUCUACAUUUAGCCCGGGGCCUCCUCCCUCCCUCCCUCCGCUCCAUUAUCAUAGUAAUAGACCUUUUAGGUGCGUCUCCUCA
ensembl:lncRNA